UACGAAGGGGGCUAGCGUUGUUCGGAAUUACUGGGCGUAAAGCGUGCGCAGGCGGCUUCUCAAGUCAGGGGUGAAAGCCCAGAGCUUAACUCUGGAAUUGCCUUUGAGACUGAGUGGCUUGAGUACGGGAGAGGUGAGUGGAAUUCCCAGUGUAGAGGUGAAAUUCGUAGAUAUUGGGAAGAACACCGGUGGCGAAGGCGGCUCACUGGCCCGUAACUGACGCUCAUGCACGACAGCGUGGGGAUCAAACAGG
rnacentral:rRNA from 1 species